rnacentral:rRNA from 1 species
UGAGGAAUAUUGGGCAAUGCCCGCAAGGGUGACCCAGCAACGCCGCGUGGAGGAUGAAUGUCGUAAGAUUGUAAACUCCUGUUAGAGGGGAAGAAUAGUACCGGUUGGACCGGUAUAUGACUGUACCCUCAGAGAAAGCCCCGGCUAACUACGUGCCAGCAGCCGCGGUAAUACGGAGGGUGCAAGCGUUAUCCGGAUUCACUGGGUUUAAAGGGUGCGUAGGUGGGCAGAUAAGUCAGUGGUGAAAUCUUCCGGCUUAACCGGGAAACUGCCGUUGAUACUAUUUGUCUUGAAUAUUGCGGAGGUAAGCGGAAUAUGUCAUGUAGCGGUGAAAUGCUUAGAUAUGACAUAGAACACCAAUUGCGAAGGCAGCUUACUACACAAUCAUUGACACUGAGGCACGAAAGCGUGGGUAGCGAAC